rnacentral:pre_miRNA from 1 species
AUAGUACUCUCUUCGUCUCAAAAUUUUUGUCUUAGAUUUGUCUAAAUAUAAAUAUAUCUAGUCAUAUUUUAGUAUUUAGAUACAUUCAUUUCUACACAAAUUUAAGACAAAUUUUUUCGAGACAAGGGAGGAUGUC